rnacentral:rRNA from 1 species
CCCUUAGAUGUCCUGGGCCGCACGCGCGCUACACUGAUGCAUGCAGCAAGUCUUUUCCUUGGCCGAGAGGCCUGGGCAAUCUUUGAAUAUGCAUCGUGAUGGGGAUAGACGAUUGCAAUUAUUCGUCUUCAACGAGGAAUUCCUAGUAAACGCAAGUCAUCAGCUUGCAUUGAUUACGUCCCUGCCCUUUGUACACACCGCCCGUCGCACCUACCGAUUGAAUGGUCCGGUGAAGGCUCCGGAGGCGUCUUUCUCAAUGUUUAUUCGGCGAGAUUGGUGCCAAAGUUGAAUGAACCUUACCAUUUAGAGGAAGGUGAAGUCGUAACA